AGGUAAACAACAACACAUGGACGUACCGGAACAUUUUUGGCCAACAUUUUUACCUGAAAAAUAGGGGCAUGUUGGUAUAGCUGGCAGCAUGACGUGACUGACAACUUAAGCAACAUGAUGUUCUGCUAUGUGAGAAAGUGGAUAACAACACAAGAAUACCAGAUGUUGGAUGGAUGGAUGGAUGGUAUUAAUAAGUGCAUCAUUCAAUGAAAAUCCUCAAGUCGUUGAUGUUUUGAUUCAAUGUGGCGCAAAUCAAGAUUUGAAAACUAAUAGUAGCAUUCGGUAAGCAGGCAGAUUGACUUGACUAACAGGUUCAAGAGAUAUAGAAGAAUGGACAACACCAAAAAUAGCUUGCUACAAUUAAUUCAUUUGCAUAUUCACCAGACCAGCAGUCCUCAUUACCAGGCAGGGAAAUGAUGAAUAUUCAUUGAAUUCAGCUAGAACUGCAAAAACCAGCAAAACUGCAGAACUAACACCAAGUCAAGAACAACUUCUGAGAGGCAUAUAUAUCUUUCAGCGGGGCCAAGGGUGGUGGGUGGCGCGUAGGUUCCACACGUGGCGAUCGCCUAUCAUAGGCGAUCGCUUCCGCUUGGAUAAUCCCAACUGUCUUUUUGCGUGAGACGCUGACGAAAUUUUCAAAAAAAGUUUCGUUAAGAUUUAUUGGAUUGUACAGUAUGUGUUGUUUGAAAUACAGUACACUACAAAUGAGUUGUAGUACAAUGAAAUAGUGUUGCAAUCAGUUUUAUUCAAGUCCAGAAUUUUAACUAAGUCCAGAAUAGGACUCAACCAUUUACACAAGUUCAGAAUUUUAACUAAGUCCAGAAUAGGACUCAACCAUACACAAGUCCAGAAUUUUAACUAAGUCCAGAAUAGGACUCAACCAU
rnacentral:lncRNA from 1 species